rnacentral:rRNA from 1 species
GUCUACGGCCAUGCCACCAUGAACAAGCCCGAUCCCAUCUGAUCUCAGAAGCUAGGCAGGGUCGGGCCUGGUUAAUAUUUGGUGGGAGAUCACCUAGGAAGACUAGGGUCUGUAGGAG